rnacentral:rRNA from 1 species
AGAACGAACGCUGGCGGCAUGCCUAAUACAUGCAAGUCGAACGAGAUCUUCGGGUCUAGUGGCGCACGGGUGCGUAACGCGUGGGAAUCUACCCUUGGGUUCGGAAUAACAGUUGGAAACGACUGCUAAUACCGGAUGAUGACGAAAGUCCAAAGAUUUAUCGCCCAGGGAUGAGCCCGCGUAGGAUUAGCUAGUUGGUGAGGUAAAGGCUCACCAAGGCUACGAUCCUUAGCUGGUCUGAGAGGAUGAUCAGCCACACUGGGACUGAGACACGGCCCAGACUCCUACGGGAGGCAGCAGUGGGGAAUAUUGGACAAUGGGCGCAAGCCUGACUCCAGCC